CAGUAGCGUACAUUUACGUUGUUGCAGUUAAAAAGUUCGUAGUUGGAGUUCUGGCUUGGAUCGCCCGUUCACGUCCCUCUUGAAGGGCACGUAGUAACGUUGGUGUCAUCCGGUCAUCCGCCCAUCUCAUCGCCGAUACCCUUUAUUGGGCCGUCGCGUGUAUGGUUGGGCCAUUUACUUUGAAAAAAUUAGAGUGUUUCAAGCAGGCAAUUGCUAGAAUACAUUAGCAUGGAAUAAUGAUAUAGGACUUUUGUCUUAUUUUGUUGGUUUCCUAGACAGAAGUAAUGAUAGAUGAGCGCAGUUGGGGGUGCUAGUAUUCCACGGCCAGAGGUGAAAUUCUUGGAUUCAUGGAAGACUAACUUAUGCGAAAGCAUUCACCAAGGAUGUCGCUCUCAAUCAAGAACGAAAGUUGGGGGGA
rnacentral:rRNA from 1 species